GACGAACGCUGGCGGCGUGCUUAACACAUGCAAGUCGAACGGAAAGGCCCUGCUUUUGUGGGGUGCUCGAGUGGCGAACGGGUGAGUAACACGUGAGUAACCUGCCCUUGACUUUGGGAUAACUUCAGGAAACUGGGGCUAAUACCGGAUAGGAGCUCCUGCAGCAUGGUGGGGGUUGGAAAGUUUCGGCGGUUGGGGAUGGACUCGCGGCUUAUCAGCUUGUUGGUGGGGUAGUGGCUUACCAAGGCUUUGACGGGUAGCCGGCCUGAGAGGGUGACCGGCCACAUUGGGACUGAGAGACGGACCAGACGCAUACGGGAGGCAGCAGUGGGGAAUAUGGCACAAUGGGAGGAAGCCUGAUGAAGCAACGCCGCGUGCGGGAUGACGGCCUUCGGGGUGUAAAAAGCUUUCGCCUGUGACGAAGCGUGAGUGACGGUAAUGGGUAAAGAAGCACCGGCUAACUACGUG
rnacentral:rRNA from 1 species